UCUAUGCCCAGGAGGAGGACUGGAAGUCCUGAAUUGCAGUAGGAGCAACAAGUCUCUUCCAGCAUGGAUCUCACUUAGUGCCAUGGUCUGCCGCCAAUGAUGGGGCAUGUUUCCUGCAGACACACGGAGUCAGUAAUUUGCGGUGAGCAGGCGGCGGAUGGAGGAGCCUCAGCGCAGCCGGGAACGAAACGGACGCAGGAGAAGGGUGCGACAGCGGAGGCGGAGUUUGGCUGGCAAAGAGGCAGAGGGGGCAAACGCUGAGAUGCCCUCCUGCCGGGGAUACCCCUUGCCAGGGAGCUGACUUCUCUGCACCUUGGAGAGCUGCUGUCUUUGCACUCCCGGGGUAGGGUGGGACAAAGCCGGUGGGCUCAGCCCCUUCCCUGGAGCCAAGGCUUGCUCUUCCAGCUUCUUGCUGCUGCAAGAGGGGGUGGCAGCUUGAGAAACUUUGUCUUGGCUGCUGAUUCUGUUUGGGCACAUCAGUGAUGUCCCCAAGGGAAACAAGAGUGCCUGAAGCAGACUUGCAAAACGAGGGAGGCUGUAACACAUCUGGGGGUGUCGAUUCCAGUGCUGCCGGGACCUGAGCGUUGCAGCUGCAGGAGAGACAGGGUUCGGAGGGCUCUGCUGGAAAAAGGGCCACAGAGGGGCUGGCAGGGAAUUGCUGCUAGCAGUCCAGGACCUAUGGACGAGUGUUUUCAAGUCCAGUCAUGCUACAGAUCCAUGCAGCUGCUUGUUUUUGACCCUUCUGUGAAGAUGGAAAACUUGCACCAAGAUAUCUUCCUCAUGGGAAGAGAGUGGAACCAACUUAGCAUCAAAGAGGCUGAGACCACUAGAUGCAACCCCGAGGUACAAGCACAUUAAAGCAGUGUGUGAGAGCCACUACUAUGAACUGUUCACUGCACUCCAGGUCAGGAGUCUCAGUGGAUUGUGUUGUUCCCAUGGUCUGGGGGCUUGUGUUAGAGACAAACCACAGAGCAGAGUGCCUGUGUUCAGCCUCAGCUUUGCAGUGCCUUCGGCUCUGCUCUGCUGGAAAUGACCUCUCCUCAGAGUCAGGCCACCCAAAUUCAACCACCAGCUUCUACCAGGCUCUUUGUAAAGGGGCAUAAACUGUCCCUUUCUGUCAACCCUAGCAGGGUAGUUGGAUGCUCAAGGUGAAGCCUUGCAGGAUGUAGCUGCUUUGGCACUGAGUUCAAGUCCUGCCUGUGGCUGCUGGCAAGGUUCUGCUAAUUGUUUUUUCCCAGCAAAGCAUUCUCUGCUCCCAUGGGUGGCCCAGAGGCAUCUCCAAACCCAGCAGUGUCUGGGCUCAGAGAAGUGCAGCACCUCAGAUGCUGUGGGGAGCAUGGCUUGGUUUUGGCUUGCUGUACAUCAGCUCCUGCCCCUCUUUGAUCACGGCUGUGACCCUCAGGCAGCUCAGCCUUACAGCAGUAAUGUAGUACCUGGACGUGGGCUGGCGUGGCCAAGUUAAUGUCUCACCUUAGGUUUGGCUCUGAACUGCUGUGGUGGAAGCUGGCUGAAAGUAAACAGUUGAGUUAAAAACGA